rnacentral:rRNA from 1 species
UACGUAGGUGGCAAGCGUUGUUCGGAAUUAUUGGGCGUAAAGGGCGCGUAGGCGGCUUGUUAAGUCGGCUGUGAAAGCCCGGGGCUCAACCCCGGAGGGUCAGCCGAUACUGGCAGGCUAGAGUACGGAAGAGGUAGCUGGAAUUCCCGGUGUAGCGGUGAAAUGCGUAGAUAUCAGGAAGAACACCUGUGGCGAAAGCGGCUCACUGGACCACAACUGACGCUGAGGCGCGAAAGCUAGGGGAGCAAACAGG